UCGGUCCCUAUCUGCCGUGGGCGCUGGAGAAUUGAGGGGGGCUGCUCCUAGUACGAGAGGACCGGAGUGGACGCAUCACUGGUGUUCGGGUUGUCAUGCCAAUGGCAUUGCCCGGUAGCUAAAUGCGGAAAAGAUAAGUGCUGAAAGCAUCUAAGCACGAAACUUGCCCCGAGAUGAGUUCUCCCUGACUCCUUGAGAGUCCUGAAGGAACGUUGAAGACGACGACGUUGAUAGGUCGGGUGUGUAAGCGUAGCGAUACGUUGAGCUAACCGAUACUAAUGAACCGUGAGGCUUAACCUU
rnacentral:rRNA from 1 species